UGGAUAGAUUUGUGGACGAUCUGGAAUAUGCACCAAAAUCUAGCUCACCGCAUUAUGAUUUGUUUAAUGCUGCUUACACCGGGAAACUCAAACGCUUCAAGAGGUUGGCUUUGAAUCAUGCUAAAGAUGAAGAGAUUGGACUAGGAAAUGCGAUUGGAAAGGUUACAGGUGAAGAUAAAAGAGGGUCUCUUCAU